rnacentral:rRNA from 1 species
CUUGGUCAUUUAGAGGAAGUAAAAGUCGUAACAAGGUUUCCGUAGGUGAACCUGCGGAAGGAUCAUUAACGAGUAACUGAACAGGGUUGUAGCUGGCCUCUCGGGGCAUGUGCACGCCUGGCUCAUCCACUCUUCAACCUCUGUGCACUUGUUGUAGGUCGGUAGAAGAGCGAGCAUCCUCUGAUGCUUUGCUUGGAAGCCUUCCUAUGUUUUACUACAAACGCUUCAGUUUAAGAAUGUCUACCUGCGUAUAACGCAUCUAUAUACAACUUUCAGCAACGGAUCUCUUGGCUCUCGCAUCGAUGAAGAACGCAGCGAAAUGCGAUAAGUAAUGUGAAUUGCAGAAUUCAGUGAAUCAUCGAAUCUUUGAACGCACCUUGCGCUCCCUGGUAUUCCGGGGAGCAUGCCUGUUUGAGUGUCAUGGUAUCCUCAACCUUCAUAACUUUUUGUUAUCGAAGGCUUGGACUUGGAGGUUGUGCUGGCUUCUAGUCGAGUCGGCUCCUCUUAAAUGUAUUAGCGUGAGUGUAACGGAUCGCUUCGGUGUGAUAAUUAUCUGCGCCGUGGUCGUGAAGUAACAUAAGCUUGCGCUUCUAACCGUCCUUCAGUUGGACAACUUACUUUGACAUCUGACCUCAAAUCAGGUAGGACUACCCGCUGAACUUAAGCAUAUCAAUAAGCGGAGGAAAAGAAACUAACAAGGAUUCCCCUAGUAACUGCGAGUGAAGCGGGAAAAGCUCAAAUUUAAAAUCUGGCAGUCUUUGGCUGUCCGAGUGUAAUCGAAGUACGUCUUCCGCGCUGGACCGUGUACAAUCUCCUA